rnacentral:rRNA from 1 species
GCUUACGCCCAGCAUGAGAAUGCCUGAUUUCAUCUGAUCUCACAAGUUAAGCAGGGGUGGGAAUACCAGGUGCUGUAAGCU